GAGUUUGAUCCUGGCUCAGAUUGAACGCUGGCGGCAUGCCUUACACAUGCAAGUCGAACGGCAGCACGGGAGCUUGCUCCUGGUGGCGAGUGGCGAACGGGUGAGUAAUGCAUCGGAACGUAUCCUGGAGUGGGGGAUAACGUAGCGAAAGUUACGCUAAUACCGCAUAUUCUGUGAGCAGGAAAGCGGGGGGCCUUCGGGCCUCGCGCUCUUGGAGCGGCCGAUGUCGGAUUAGCUAGUUGGUGAGGUAAAGGCUCACCAAGGCGACGAUCCGUAGCAGGUCUGAGAGGAUGAUCUGCCACACUGGAACUGAGACACGGUCCAGACUCCUACGGGAGGCAGCAGUGGGGAAUUUUGGACAAUGGGGGCAACCCUGAUCCAGCCAUGCCGCGUGAGUGAAGAAGGCC
rnacentral:rRNA from 1 species